CCGCCUUCGGGGCUGGUCCCUAAGCUCCCCCAACAGGCAAAGUCCAUGCGCGCAGAUCUCGGAGAACCAAAGCACUCAGUACCGCCGCCGGGCUCUGUCCACCCUACAGCCAGACGACCUGGCGGCGCGCUGCUCCGCCAAGGAUUGUUUUAUUCUCUAGUUCCUUCUCUUUCCUCCCACCCUCAGUGGCGCACGUCCAGCCGCGGUGGGCAAGGGGCGGGGCUGGCAGAGGAGAAGGCGAGGCCAGGAGCUGGGCUCUUGGUCGCCUGUGAGGCACUGGGUCACCUAGGGUACCUGCCUGGCUUCAGAUCUACCUGGCCCCGGAGAGCGUCAGAAGAAACCACCUUUUUAGAUCUUUUUUGCUCAUGGGGGAGGUGGAGUGCCUGAAGUUUUCCAUAAUAAAACGGACUUGGGCGAGCUAGUCUCUUCAAUAAUCCUUGAAGCACCAAAGAAUAAAUCUAUUCUUUGCUCCAUGAAGGAUCCUGAGACUUAAGCCCAUCUCUGACCUAGCAGAAACGAAACUGUAGGCUUCUGAACACGAACAUACAAGAGAAAUUGGGACUCGAAUUCCCUCGAAUUAAAAAAUAAACAGCAGAUGUUGGGCUUCACACUAAGGCCAAGGGAGAUUUACUCCCCAGAGCCGGGCAUCAGCGUGUGCCCCCGGAAUCCAUGUAGUUUGGUUUAAACUGUGGGCAACGUCGAGCUGAGCGCCACAGAGUCAGCGUUUCUGGAGGCGGAUGCUUAUCCGAAUUCUGCGGGAAUCGACUCGUGAGGGGAAAGAAUCUGCAGCUUGGACAGUUUCCAGUGUCCUGUAAUCGGAAACAGAAGCCAGAGGGAAGACCAUAGAAAUCCACCUUAGCCUCAUAGAACCCCAGACGUAGGUGCGCCUGUGCAAAGGCGUUGGGUUCCAUGUGCAAAGUGACCCGCGCCAAACGAAAGCGGCCGGUCCUGUCCUCACAGUGUCCUUGAAUUCCCCAAUUCCCCAGGAGGAGCCUGACGCAAUCUCCCUCCCCUCAGUGAUUGUCAGCCCACACCGCGAGAUCCCCUGAACAAGCCGCUGGGCGCACCCCAUUCUGUUCAAGGAAGAAUGAAGAACCAAUUAACCAGAAAGACCACGCCAAUGUAGAUGUAGCCCCCUCCCGGCACUCCCCCACCCCAGCCCUGGGCUGUGAGCUCGAGGGAUUCCAGGUGGAAGAGGAACAGACGUAAACUCCCCAUUCAUACAAACCCCAGAACUAGCCCCCACACCCAGGGUGGAAUCUUGAAGUCCUACUCCAGGAGGAAGUAACUCUUUAAGAAUAGUCUCGCUUUUAAGAAUUUUUCAGUGUUGUACACCGAAGCCUUGCCUUCCUCACAGACCUCGGAAAAUGCUUCAAGGUGCUUCCAGUCUGGAGACCAGUUAGUGGCAUAUUUUACAGUCACUUCUAAACUACCGGUCACGCUCCUAUUUUAUUUUUCUUUGGGAAAACGACAUCGCCAAGCAAGACCGAGAAAGAGUUUCCUCGUCAUCUUUAAAAUAACCCAGAAAGGUUGGGACUCAAAUUCUAGGUGCUAAGUGUAUGUGGAGGCAGCAGGUCUCCAAUUGAAGACUACAACCUUACUUCUUAAUCUUCUAAUAUUAAUAAUAAUAAUAUUCUAAUAGCAGCCGUAAAAUGCUUUUUGUAACAGCAGUUUUACUUUUUUAAUCUCCAAAUUCCUUUUAUUGUGCUUGUCUGACAUUUAAAAAUUCAAAAUCAAUUUAGAACAAAACCGUUUGUGUCUCAUAGUCUAAGAAAGCCCAAAAAGCCUUAUGUAUUUC
ensembl:lincRNA